rnacentral:rRNA from 1 species
ACACUCCUACGGGACGCAGCAGUAGGGAAUUUUCGUCAAUGGGCGCAAGCCUGAACGAGCGAUGCCGCGUGAGUGAAGAAGGCCUUCGGGUCGUAAAGCUCUGUUGCGGGGGAAAAAAGGCAGCAUCAGGAAAUGGGUGCUGACUGAUGGUGCCCCGCCAGAAAGUCACGGCUAACUACGUGCCAGAAGCCGCGGUAAUACGUAGGUGGCGAGCGUUAUCCGGAAUGAUUGGGCGUAAAGGGUGCGCAGACGGUCCUGCAAGUC